GCAUCCUUAACGUUAGCAUACAGUAGGUCUAGGUUCCUCUCCUCUCUAGUAUGGCAGCUCACAUACUGGGUGAAGUUGGUUAGUGUGGUGGUCAUGGUGACAUGGUUGAAGUCACCCGAGAUCACUCGGGUGUUGAGUCUGGAGUUCAGCAAUGGCGGUGUGGGUGAUGUUACACGCCAACGUCGAGUUGGCAGAGGGCAGAAUGUAAACAGCCACGACGAUGGCAUGUGGAAUUUCCCAUGGCAGAUAAUAUGGCCUUAAAAUUCUGCAUUAUUAGGGGCGUGGCCGCUUUGAUUGAGCCGAGGCUGCUGACACUGCUAGCAAUCCUCCUGCCAUCUGCCACCUCACUCAGCUAGUUAAGGAGCUCUGUAGCUCUUCUUCAUGGUGAUACCAGAAGAAUAAUGGCAGGCUGUGCAGUUUAUUGCAGAGAGAGACCAUCCAGGAAGCUGGUGCUCCUGUUGGAGCCCGAUGAGCUGAUGGCAGCAUCAUUCCAGAUGUGAAGCACCAGAGUCUGGUUCUACAGAUGUCCCAGCUUCCAGCAUGACCCUGCCAGAUCCUGCACCCUACUGCUUUGCUCAGCCUUUUGUUUUUACUUUUACUCCACAACACCUGAACUCUACUGAUUUCAAAUUAUGACACUGGGUUCCUAUCCACAGGUUCUGUUAUUAUAAUUACUGCUACAACACAUUAUUUCAAAUCAGACAAAACUACUUUUACAUUGGUAACAUUUUAAUACUGAUGUUUUCAUAAAUGCAAGAUAUGAUUUUAAUUUGUUAAACUGUUGCUUUUGUAGUAGGAAUAAUUUUUGGUAUAUAAAAUGGAUCAGAAUAGAUAUACUUAAAAUCACUCUUCACUCAGUGUGAUCUAAACUUUAAAAAAUAGGAUCGUUAACAGCUGUAAAUGAAAAUAUUAAGACAGUAUUAUAGGUCAACAUUUUGCAUGUGAGUAAAAAGUAAAAAAUGAAAAGCUGAUGUUA